rnacentral:tRNA from 1 species
GGGGAUGUAGCUCAGUUGGUAGAGCGCGCGCUUCGCAUGCGCGAGGUAGGGGGAUCGAAGCCCUCCAUCUCCA